AAUAGAAUUAGAGAGCUGAGCAGAGCAGUACACUGGAUCCUAUGUGUAUUUUGGUCUGUUUGAUAGGAAAUUGCAUCCCCAAAUGGUUAAGAGGAAACCUUGUAUAUACACAAAUUAAGAUUAAAUACAACGAAAGGCUAGAAUGUAAGUGUAAAAAUGGAAAUUAAAAGUCAAAAUACAAAAAGGAUAUUAUCAGGCAGUUGAACAGAACCGAGCAAUAGACCAUAUCCUAUGUAUAUUUUGGUCUCUUUGUUAUAAGAAAUUACAUCCCAAAAUUGGAAAGAAUGAAAAGCUUCAUUACAUGCAAAAAUAAAAUUAAAUGCAAUGAAAGGAUAGAAUUUAACUGUAAAUAUGAAAAUUAAGAUAGAUUUUAAAAAUAAUAUAAUCAGAUGAAGAGAAUAGAGCAGUAUAGUAGAUUCUGGUUGUAUUUUAGUCUAUUUCUUAGAAGGAACCACUUCCCGAAAUGGUACAGAGAGAAAAACUUCCGUAUAUACAAGAAUACUACUAAAUGCAGUAAAAGGAUUGAAUGUAAGUGUAAAAAGGUAAAUUGUAAAAGAGUUGAUAAGCGAUGAAACUGGUUGAAAAGGAAAAAGAAAAUUAAAAUAGAAAGACUAAGGAGUCAUGAGAAAUAGCCAUGAAUUCUAUAUACUGUUUGCCCCUAGCACUGGAGUUCUGCAGCUCUCUGUGAUGAGUAAAGUUGGUCUCAGCUGGAUGUUGUUGCUGACCUCCUGGGGAGAGGCCUGUUGGGAUGAUUCUUAGGUGUCUUUGCUUAGGGUGGGAUUGCACCACCCUUGCCAGGGGGCCAGGCCAGGUAAGCAGCUCCAGAUUGCUCUCUGUGGCUUUUGUUCCCUGAUGGCUUUCUGGGCAGCUUUAGAGGAUGAGAAUGGAAAUGAUGGCCUCCUAAUCUCCAGCCCUGGAAUUGAAAGAUCUCACUCCCUACUGCGUCUCCCUGGUUUCUGUCUGCACUCUGUAUUCACCCAGCCUGUGACCAAGCAUUUUUAUCUCAAGCACACGACCCCCUUUCGGUUUUCCAAACUUUGCGGACCCCUGUAGCCCCCAUUCACGCUGUGCCUCCAGGGGGAAGGAGGAGGUCUUGCCCAGUUUUGCCACUUGCUGGACCCCUGCUUGGAGAGUGGUCACCUGACUGAUCCUCGGUUUGGGGUUUAUGGCAACACGGAGCUGAAUGCCCACUCCUGGGCUCACUGAUUGCAACUGGUUUCCCUGCUCAAAUGCCUUGGCAACUGCCAUACUCAGGCGCCCCCAAUCUUUCUGUGGCCCCCAGGGAUCCUGAGACCACACUGUCCAUCCCACCUAGGAUGCUGCCCCCGUUGCCACCUGAGCACCUUUCAGACAGGGAUGUCCUCACUGGAACAGACUUCUUAAAAGUUCUGGUUGUGCACUCUGCUGCUAUAUCACUUUCCAGGACUUGCCUUCUGGCUUCCAGAGGCUCCCUGCCCCCAUGGUUUAUCUUCUGACAUAUGCCUGGGAUUCAUUUCUCCACAACUCCUACCUUGCAGAAAGUGGUCACUGUUCUAUUUGUAGAAUUGCAGCAAUUCUUUUCUUGGCUCUCUGUCUGAGUUCACAGGUGUUCAGAUGAUUUGAUAGCUAUGUAGCUGAAUUCCAGACACCAGACAAAACUUCCUACUCCUCCACCAUCGUCCUCUUCUUCCAGAAAUUCUGUAUAUUCAAUCGAUCAAUAUUAAUUGUACUUUUUAUUAGACUCCUCUGAACAGCAAUAUAGGUUUCUUCUCAGUUAUCCAGAUUAAGUAGGGAUUUAUUUAUGUGAUUAUCUUUCUAUUUAAGCAAUCCGUAACUUUUACUCUCUAAAAGUAUCAUUUUCAGACCAUGUUUCAUAAGCAAAAUAAAAUUCCUACAAUAAUGUCUCUUGUUUAACUUGAACAUUGUAAGUAACAUUUGAUUUAUUUCAGAUGCAGGAGCUGGAAGAAAAUAUAACUAGAGAACUAAAAGAAGCUGCUCGUGAAUUAGAAUCAGGAUUCUGUAGAUCCUCUCCUUUAGGACCUACUGAUGAAUCAAAUGUAAAUCAAGAUCUAGUACUGCAAGCAUGACGAGAAUAUGGAGAGAUUUUGAAUAAAAAGUAUAUGAUCUGAAAGAUACAUAGUAAAAGUUUAUCACCUAGAUGUUUAAUAAAACAUUUUAAUUGUUUCCCAGUAAAUGUCUGUUGUACAAAAAAUCUUUAUUAAAGGAAAUUUUGCUAUA